AUCUCUUGCUGGAGAUCCCUCCUUGAUGAAGCUUUUCCCCUGUGAACCUGGAAUCUUCUGAUACGGUGAUUUUUGGAUCUCUUUCCAAAAAGGCAGCAGGAACCUCUGUGUAACGUGGACUGUUUUACUGACAAGAUGUGAGGGGCACCAGGCAACCACAAUGGAGGUCUGACACAUGCAGUACAGGCUGUGAGUGAAUUCCUAAGACUGCCUUUUUAAAGCCCAAGCUCUGUCAAGCAUCUUCUAAACCAGUAUACUUUUAAAAAGGAGAGAUUUCUACUUGCUUUUCUGAGCUAGGCGUGCGAGAGAAGCCUCUUGCAAAGGUGCAGCUGAAUCAAGGUCAGGGAAUACCCUCACUGAGUCAUCUGAGAGUGUUUAUUUUCUGUUUGCCUUCUGAUGUGCAACAUAGCCCUGGCUUGGCUGUUGUCCUGUCUGGGCAUCUGGAAAGAAAGGACAAGAAAGUGGUGUGGCUGCUGCCAGGCUUCGCUUACCUGAUGAUGAACAACUUAUGCUGCAUUUCUGCUGUUACUGGGGCUCCCCACAGGCACCCGUGCUCCAGUUCUGUCACUAAGAAUGAAGCAAGAAGAGAAAUGCUGACUUUAAUUAAAAAUAUAGAUGGACUCUUCUCUCUUGCUGCCACCCACCCAAGACUGACUUUGAAAAAUGCUUCAAGGAGGCAGUGCAAGUGUUUGUGAUUUGCAAAGAUGAUUAUUUUGCUGAAAGUAAAAGGCCAGUGAGGUAAAUUCUGAAAAAGGAUGCUCUGACCAGAUAGCUUUGUGUAAGUUUCAAUGCAUUUCUGCAAUUUCAAGUUAUUGUGUUAAUGCUGACGCAAUUUCUGCCUGCUUUUACAGAAAACAUAUGUUACCCAUUCUCUUUAUAAUAAUAUGCCCUUUCCAUUUUAAAUUUAAAACAUGUCCAAGUUAAGAAUAAUAAGUGCCAAAUCUCAUUUUCCUCACUUCUGCAUUCUUCAGUUACUCCUAUGACAGAUUUGGGAUCUGUCAGUGCCAAAUUCAAUUCCAGUUUGAUUGCUGCAAACCUCUGCGUUUCAGGAUUACUCAUGCUAUCCAGUGACUGUAUUUUUUUUGGUUCUUCAGCCUUUCUGCUCAUUUAAACCAUCUUUUUUUUUUUUCAGGGGAGAUCUGGUGUAUUUUGGGGUGCGAGGAAUGGUUUUCCCUUCUUGAAGGAGUAAAAGUGGCAGUGGUUAU
ensembl:lncRNA